rnacentral:lncRNA from 1 species
UGUCUGCAGACGCCAUCAUGUGUGCGCUCCCACGUGCAUGAGGUUAGAAGCUAGGUGGAGGGCAGUCAAGGUCUGGGGGCACCUCACAGAGGGGUGCAAACCAGGGUGGGGUAGAAACAUGGUAAAGAACCAAUGGUGGAGUCGCCAUUGUGGCGCAAGGGAUUAGCGGCACCUUGGGAGUGCUGGGUUGCAGGUUCAAUCCCCAGCCCAGUACAGUGGGUUGGGGAUCUGGCAUUGCCACAGCUGCAGCUUAGGUCACAACAGUGGCUUGGAUCUGAUCCCUGGCCCAGGAACUCCAUAUGCCACAGGGGCAACCAAAAAAAAAAAAAGAAAGAAAAAGAACCAAUGGUAAUCCUGGUAAUCCAGGGAAUGGACAGCCAGAGCUCCACAGCCUGCCCCCUCUAGUCAGCCCAGCAUUCCACCUCCUGCCUGACACUGGCACAUAUGUGAUCUGUGAUCAUGCAGCUGGGCUGCAGGAAUCAACCAUUCAAGACCUUUCUUCCCAGGCUGCUCCCUGAGGCCACUCUCUGACAUGAAGGCACACCACUAUCUUCUCCAGAAUCCAGGAGACUGGACUGUCUUCAGAAAACCUGUCUAUAGCACAGUAUGUGGAAUCCUCUUUGAAACCAACAUCCCGUUGGAAAAAAAUAUAUUAACUGGCCUUCAUCACAUGUCUGAAAGUUGCUCUGUGAACUGGAUCACUGGUCUAAACCUGGAUUCAUGUGUAGAGGUGGGGCCAGCCCAGUGGGGCAGAACCACCACUGACCAGCCUCCUCCUCAUGGUAAUUCAGGGGAUAUGUAGGUGAACCCCAGACCCUGAGUAAUUACUACCCUGUGGGGGAUUUCCAGCCCUGAUGUGAAACAAGGAACCAAGACUUCUUCAGAGUCUACAAGGCUCCUGGCUCACUGCUCCCUUUUCUCCAUGCACCAAGGGCUCCCAUUCCACCCCAAAUCCCCAAUCUCUCAGUAAUUAAGCUGGACCCGUGCAGCCCUGAUGGCAAAGGGGAAAGCCUGCACUUCUGAGUCCAAGCACUGGUGAGAACCAAGGGCAGUAAGCCAGGGUAGGCUCACCCCAGCAUGCCUCUCACAGGAUCACUACUUGUUGGGUUCCUCCAGGGUCCAAAGUCCUUUCCUUCCUUUCUUGAAACCCCACUUAACAGAUAAGGAAACUAAGGGUCCAGGAAGGUAAUGGGAGUCCAGCAGUCAACACGCCUCUAAAAGGUAAUGGAGCAUGGUUUUUUACCUUAGUUUGGCGCAAGGUCUGUCCGUCACACACAGCCCAGCUGGUGCUUUACUAGGUGGGAUGAAGGAGGGCACCCAGAUGCCACCAGGCUGGUGACAUUGGCACCUGGCCCACAUAUUCUCCCAGCAGGGAAAUGCACAGGUUACAAAGUGUUCCUGAAGCCACACGGGGCCAGUGGCUUCAUGCCUAGCAGCAUCUAUGAAUGGUCUCUCAGCUACCUCUGCCUUCCCCACCCCCAUGGUGCACUAGAACCAGAGCCAGAGAUCUCCACACCCAACCACAACAGUAGGGGCUUCAGCCCACCCCCAACGCUUGCCCUGAGCUUCACGCUAUUGGUAAACAACAAUGACACUGGAGCCUCCUCCCUGCCAGGCCCUGGGAAUGGCACACAAUGAGGGUAGACUGGCCAUCCCCACCCCUGACCACACUGUGACCCUGCAUCCAGGCAGCAUAGCCCACACCAACACCUUCAGUGGGCUCAAGGGCCACCCGGGCAGCAGUAAAAACUAGUUCACUUUAAAACCAACCAUGUGGAAGCCACUUUUUUUUUUAAGCAGAACAGUCUAGACUAGAAUUUACAAAAACCACUUAACUCAAAAGACUUUGGAAGUGUUCAACAGCAAGCAAGCUGUCCUUCCAAACCAAAACAUGCACAGAUGGCACCCAGAAGAAAGCAAACCUCUGAGGCUUUCAAGGUGCUGAGCAUUCUAAGGCCAUCCUUGGCUGAGUCACCCUGCCCUGCGUCACACAGUGGGUGUCGGUCAUGUCCGCUGAGGGCGUGCAGGUGGAUAAAUGAAAGGGGCUUUGCCAGGCAAGUGUGUAUCUGUGAUUUAGUCCCAGCCUCACUCUUUUCAGCCACGGCAAGUCUUCCUGCUUCUGAGGAGCUUCAUACAUGUUCCCAAGGUAGGUGCCAUUCUGUGACUCUAACUGCCUCUACUGCAGGUCAAUGCAAACUGCAGGUCAAUGCAAGAGGUAGUGCCUGCAUUCCCCAGAAAGCCUGGCAGUACCAGCCCAUGUCCCACCCCAUCUCCUUGAGCAAGGAAAAUAAGUCAAGAGUCAGUAAGUCAAGAUCGUAAGUGCCUUGAUCCUACCUUUUAGCUCAGAAGGUGCAGCCUCCUGGCCCUGCUCUGCCUUGCCUGGUCCCAUAGCUGGGGAGGAGUCAGGAGACCUCCCUCAGGCAUAUGUCACACUAGAGCUCUGCCUGGCAAAGCCACCUUCCUGUGGCAAAACCCCAUGGGACCUUGUACCCACAGGGGCAAAGUCUCUCGUGCACUGCUUCUGAGAGGAAGAAUGAUGUUGGGGUGGGGGCUGUGUCUCAGCUGUUGCCACCAAGCUCACCACUUGCAAAAACACAAAAGCACUUCCUCAUCAGUGGGGCCCAUCUGCUCCCCAGGAGCGCACACAGCUCCAGGAUGGCCACUGCCUGCAUGGCCCUGACUGUGUACACUCACAGCCUGCAGAGCACCCAUGGCCUGAGCUGCCAACUGCAUCUGCAACUCGGCCCAGGACAGUAACUGGAGCUCCCCAUCAGCACAUGGGCAUGAGCGGCUGCCAUCUAUGGGACCUCUGCGAAAGGCCUGUAGAGGAGAGAGAAGCUUGCAGACAGGAGGGGGUGGGUGGGAUAGUGUAGUGUGUGGGAGAGCUUUCCUCUCCACAGCAGUGGCUCUCAAGCUGUCCCUCUCAACAGUCCUAGCUGCUCUUCUCAACAAAAUUCAAACUCUCCUGACCUCUGAGUCACAUCAAUAUACAAUUCUUGUUGUAAUUCAGCCCUUUCUGAGAGCACAAGAGCUCUCAACAUGUCAUCUGGGAAUUGGUUCAUUACUACAACUGUAAAGUCAAAAAGCCAAGUGGAGCAUUUUCCUUCAGUAUCUGUGCUUGAAGAAAAAGGUCCAGUUGGCAGUGCACCUGAUGACAGAGACCACACCAGUGGCGUUUCCUCCCUCCCAGCCUUGCUCUCAUUGGAACAGCCAGUAAGAAUACCAGCUGAGCAAGAUAAGACGCCUAUGGGAGGGGUGUGCACAGCGCUUGGCCCACUUGUAUGCAGACUAUAGUUAAUCCAAACUGAGAACGAGCCAGCUUUUUAGGAAGUGACAGGGGCCAAGCUCCAAGAGAAUGUUAAGUGAAACAGUGAAGUGACAGCAGUGCACUCCCAAGUUGCCAAUGAAAACACCUGGCACUGGGGCUGGACAGAGAAGCAGUUAGCUCAGACUCGGCCUCCAAUGCUGGCCCAAUUAAGACUUAGAGCAAUACUGGCCACCAACCUGAGUCCAGCUCCUCCUCUAUGAGCUGGGAAGCCUGGGUGGAAUGUUGGGAAAACCAGAGAUCAUGUU